GGUCGGGGCAGUGCUUUAACCGGAGACCAGGAGCCUGACUCUUCCAGGGCUCUGUGAGACAGCCUGGUGCCUGGCGGGGGUGACACAGCCCCACUGUCUGCCCCGCGUUUACAGCCAGGAACCACACCUGAGCCAUUUCCAAGGGUGACAUGUGUCACAGAACUGUGGGGAAGGGGCUAUCCAGAGAUUCCCAGUAGGAGACACGGGGAGACCUGCAGGAAUGAUCUCUCGCAGCACCCAAGUCUGCACCCUGCUUCACUCACUCAGCAAUCUGUCCAGGAGCUCCUUCAAUGUCAAGACAUCCAGAAAGAUCUGUCUUCCUCCUUUUCCAGGCCCCUGUGCAGGAACCCCCUGCACCUGGUCCCCCGUGAUGGGUGCUC
rnacentral:lncRNA from 1 species